rnacentral:rRNA from 1 species
GACGAACGCUGGCGGCGCGCUUAACACAUGCAAGUCGUGCGGUACCGUGGGUAAGUCCUUACAGACGAGCCCUCGGUACAGCGGCGGACGGGUGAGUAACACGUGAGUAGCUGUCCUAAGGAGGGGGAUAACGCCUGGAAACGGGUGCUAAUACCCCAUAUGCCUCGCAAGAGGUGAAAGUGUACUCGUUACAGCCUUAGGGUGCGCUCGCGGCCUAUCAGCUAGUUGGUGAGGUAACGGCUCACCAAGGCUAAGACGGGUAGCCGGCCUGAGAGGGUGUACGGCCACACUGGAAUUGAGAUACGGUCCAGACUCCUACGGGAGGCAGCAGUGGGGAAUCUUGGGCAAUGGGCGAAAGCCUGACCCAGCGACGCCGCGUUGGGGAUGAAGCCCUUCGGGGCGUAAACCCAUGUUGUAGGGGACGAAGAAAGUGACGGUACCCUACGAGAAAGCCCCGGCCAACUACGUG